rnacentral:rRNA from 1 species
GACGAACGCUGGCGGCGUGCCUAAUACAUGCAAGUAGAACGCUGAAGGAGGAGCUUGCUUCUCUGGAUGAGUUGCGAACGGGUGAGUAACGCGUAGGUAACCUGCCUGGUAGCGGGGGAUAACUCUUGGAAACGAUAGCUAGUACCGCAUAACAGUAGAUAUCGCAUGAUAUCUACUUGAAAGGUGCAAUUGCAUCACUACCAGAUGGACCUGCGUCGUAUUAGCUAGUUGGUGAGGUAACGGCUCACCAAGGCGACGAUACAUAGCCGACCUGAGAGGGUGAUCGGCCACACUGGGACUGAGACACGGCCCAGACUCCUACGGGAGGCAGCAGUAGGGAAUCUUCGGCAAUGGACGGAAGUCUGACCGAGCAACGCCGCGUGAGGGAAGAAGGUUGUCGGAUCGUAAAGCUCGGUUGUAAGAGAAGAACGAGUGUGAGAGUGGAAAGUUCACACUGUGACGGUAUCUUACCAGAAAGGGACGGCUAACUACGUG